rnacentral:lncRNA from 1 species
UUAAAGUAGCACGAUCUAAUUCAAAAAUUUCACCCAAUUGAGCACGCCGAGCAUAUUUUUUCACAGUAGCAGGAUCACUAUAACUGACUCCAUUGAGUUCGCCACCAUAGAAUUCAACAAUUACACCUACUUGUUCGACACUAUACUUCGAUUCUGCCCUUCGAAAAGGAACAUCUGCUAACAAUUCCGUCUCCGUCUACCAAAACAACCGGAAAUGUUUCAAAAAAAGUAGGCAUACGAGUACAAAAAGUUCACGCCCCUCUUUGUCUCUAAAGAUAGGAUGCCCUAACCAACCAACCGCUAUUCCAUCUCAUUGUCCAUUGACCCCUCUAACAAAACCCCUUUUGCCGGAUUAUUACCGAUGUAAUCAUAAAAACUAAUUUUUCAGGAAUUUUAGACCAAGCUUCUGAUAAACUUUGAUUUUCGACUAGCCCACACCAACUCUUCGAUAAUUUUCUUGCUGGAAGUAUCCUGAUCCCAUUGAUAACGAGUAGGACCAAAUAAUUCAAUCGGGGUAGUUGCUGAACCAUACCACAUAGUUCCAGCAACAACAAAAGCUCAAAAAAUACACAAGCGAUACUACUGGAAAGGACCGUUUCAAUAUUUUCCAUACGCAAUCCUUUGUAUAAACGUUGAGGUGGACGCACACUAAGAGUGAAAAGACCCGCUAAUAUUCCCAUGUCCCUGCUGCAAUAUGAUGAGAGGCUAUUCCCCCCGGAACAAAAGGAUCAAAACCAUCCACCCCAGGCGGGAUUUACAGAUUGUACCCUUCCUGUUAGUCCAUAAGGAUCGGAUACCCAUAUUCCAGACCAAACAAUCCGUUUACAUGAAAGGCGCCAAAACCAAAACACGCGACCCCUGCAAGAAAUAAAUGAAUUCCAAAUAUUUUGGAAAUCCAAAGAAGGUUUUCCAGUACGUUCAUCACAAAAGAUUUCGAGAUCCCAAUAGACCCAAUGCCAAAUAGCCGCCAAAAAGCACAAGCCCGAAAACACAAUAUGUGCCGCGCCACACCUUCGUAACUCCAAAUACCCGGAUUCGUUAUAUGCCUCCUGUAAUAUUCCAACCACCCCACGAAUUGGUUAUUCCUAAACGAGUCAUGAGGGUAUAACGAACUACCCUGUCUCCACAUUGGGUCAAGAACAGGGUCAGAGGGAUCAAAAACUGCUAAUUCAUAUAGAGCCAUCGAACCGGCCCAACCAGCAACAGAGUGUAUGCAUUAUAUGGACAAAAAGUAAAGCCGGGAUCAUUUAAUACAAGGUAUGAACACGAUACCAAGGCAAACCCAUGAAAAUACCCUUAAUAUUAACAAAAAAUGGACACUAUGUAACUUUAUUGCACUGUAAAAAACUAUGCUAUGGACCUCCCCCUUUUAGUAAAUUAUCUCGCAUUAAAGAAUUUAUAUUUUUUCUAGUAGAAUUGAUAUUUGUUCUAGUUUUUUAGAAAAAAAGGAACAUUCUAUUCGUAGGAACAAAAAGAAGCAAUUAUUCUAUAUCGAUAAGUAACAAUACGCAAUGGUGGUGGGGUUUACUUUUUUUGAUAUGCGUGUUUAUAUUCAGUGAAUGCAGACAAGUGUAGACACAAAAAGUCUACGUACGGGUCUUUCUUGGUUGAAUUACAAAGAUAGAGCUUUUCAUGUCAUGAGUUGAUGUGAUUUGGAAUCAAGGCUGGGUAGAUGUCACAGAUGAUGAAUUGAUUUCUUACCUAUGUAAUCUAUUUUUCUUUUGUUCGUCGUAUAAUAAUGAUUCAUGAAUCAAUUAUUUUCAAUUGUAUCUUUCAAGUGGUAUUUUCUUAUUUUCCUAUUUUUAUCUCAAAAAAAUGGAAACUUAGGAAAGUGCUUUAUAAACAUAUGUAUAGAAAGAAUAUAUUUCAUCUAGUUUCCUUAUCCCACUCUAACCAGUUAUUUCGGUUUUCUACUAGCAGUUUUAACUAUAACCGCAGGUAUUUUUAUCAGUCUGAAUAAGAUACGACUUAUUUGUUUGCAAUUUUGAGAUGGAUUGGAAAUUUUAGAAUAUUUAGGAUAUUCUCCUUAUCAUAUGACCAAUUCUUGGUCAUUGAGAUUCAUGGUCAAUAUAAAUUCAUAUUUAAGGAUCGCUAUUAUCCCCACCUUUUUUACUUUCAACCAAACUCAAAUGAUCGAAGUUUUUCUAUUUGGAAUCGUGUUAGGUCUAAUUCCUAUUACUUUGGCUGGAUUAUUUGUAACGGCCUAUUUACAAUACCGACGUGGCGAUCAGUUGGAUAUUUGAUUUAUUACUGUCUCUUUUGUAUAUUGACCUCCUUUUUUUUUUAAUCCUAAUUUACAGGAGAUCAAAUUAACACUUUGGAUUAGACUGUUAUCCCAUUAUUUUAGUCUCAAUUUUAGAAGAAUGGUAUCACGCUCUGUAGGAUUUGAACCUACGACAUCGGGUUUUGAAGACCCGCGUUCUACCGAACUGAACUAAGAGCGCUUUCUUUAAUCAUUUUAUGUCCGAUGAUGGCAAUACAUCUUUUGCAUGCAUACAAACUCAAUAUGGAGAACUAUUCAUAUAACUAUUCAUAUUGAGUAUUUAUGUCCAAUUUGAAUCGCUCAUAAUUGAUCUAUUGUUACUGCUGAUACGAUAACUAAUAGUUAGGGAUAGGGAUGACAAGAUUUGAACCUAUUACAUUUUGUACCCAAAACAAACGUGCUACCAAGGUGCGCUACAUCCCUUUACAUCAGUUUCCAGUGUCAUUCUAAAUUUUUUUGUCUUGUUUUCCACAUUCUUCCAUUAUAUAUAGAAUAUAUCCUGCCAUUUUUUCUCGUUUGUUUUUUUACUUUCUUAUAUCGAUCGUAUAAAGAACAAAUAUUCUUAUAGAAUAUUUUUGGAACAUAAAUACUCAAUAUGAAUAGUUAUAUGAAUAGUUCUCCAUAUUGAGUUUGUAUGCAUGCAAAAGAUGUAUUGCCAUCAUCGGACAUAAAAUGAUUAAAGAAAGCGCUCUUAGUUCAGUUCGGUAGAACGCGGGUCUCCAAAACCAAUGUCGUAGGUUCAAAUCCUACAGAGCGGAUACCAUUUUUCUAAAAUUGAGACUAAAUAAUGGGAUAACAGUCUAAUCCAAAGUGUUAAUUUGAUUCCUGUCAAUUAGGAUUAAAACAAAAAAUAGGAGGUCAAUAAACAAAAGAGACAUAAUAAAUCAAAUAUCCAACUGAUCGCCACGUCGGUAUGUAAAUAGGCCGUUACAAAUAAUCCAGCCAAAGUAAUAGGAAUUAGACCUAACAGAUUCAAAUAGAAAAACUCAAUCAUUUGAGUUUGGUUGAAAGUAAAAAAGGUGGGGAUAAUACGAUCCUUAAAUAUGAAUUUAUAUUGACCAUGAAUCUCAAUGACCAAGAAUUGGUCAUAUGAUAAGGGAAUAUCCAAAAUAUUCUAAAAUUUCCAAUCCAUCUCAAAAUUGCAAAACAAUAAGUCGUACUUAUUCAGACUGAUAAAAAUACCUGCGGUUAUAGUUAAAACUGCUAGUAGAAAACCGAAAUAACUGGUUAGAGUGGGAUAAGGAAACUAGAUGAAAUAUAUUCUUUCUAUACAUAUGUUUAUAAAGCACUUUCCUAAGUUUCCAUUUUUUUGAGAUAAAAAUAGGAAAAUAAGAAAAUACCACUUGAAAGAUACAAUUGAAAAUAAUUGAUUCAUGAAUCAUUAUUAUACGACGAACAAAAGAAAAAUAGAUUUACAUAGGUAAGAAAUCAAUUCAUCAUCUGUGACAUCUACCCAGCCUUGAUUCCAAAUCACAUCAACUCAUGACAUGAAAAGCUCUAUCUUUGUAAUUCAACCAAGAAAGACCCGUACGUAGACUUUUUGUGUCUCACUUGUCUGCAUUCACUGAAUAUAAACACCAUAUCAAAAAAAGUAAACCCCACCACCAUUGCGUAUUGUUACUUAUCGAUAUAGAAUAAUUGCUUCUUUUUGUUCCUACGAAUAGAAUGUUCCUUUUUUUCUAAAAAACUAGAACAAAUAUCAAUUCUACUAGAAAAAAUAUAAAUUCUUUAAUGCGAGAUAAUUUACUAAAAGGGGGAGGUCCAUAGCAUAGUUUUUUACAGUGCAAUAAAGUUACAUAGUGUCCAUUUUUUGUUAAUAUUAAGGGUAUUUUCAUGGGUUUGCCUUGGUAUCGUGUUCAUACUUGUAUUAAAUGAUCCCGGCUUUACUUUCUGUCCAUAUAAUGCAUACACUCUGUUGCUGGUUGGGCCGGUUCGAUGGCUCUAUAUGAAUUAGCAGUUUUUGAUCCCUCUGACCCUGUUCUUGACCCAAUGUGGAGACAGGGUAGUUCGUUAUACCCUCAUGACUCGUUUAGGAAUAACCAAUUCGUGGGUGGUUGGAAUAUUACAGGAGGCAUAUAACGAAUCCGGGUAUUUGGAGUUACGAAGGUGUGGCGCGGCACAUAUUGUGUUUUCGGGCUUGUGCUUUUUGGCGGCUAUUUGGCAUUGGGUCUAUUGGGAUUCGAAAUCUUUUGUGAUGAACGUACUGGAAAACCUUCUUUGGAUUUCCAAAAUAUUUGGAAUUCAUUUAUUUCUUGCAGGGGUCGCGUGUUUUGGUUUUGGCGCCUUUCAUGUAACGGAUUGUUUGGUCUGGAAUAUGGGUAUCCGAUCCUUAUGGACUAACAGGAAGGGUACAAUUGUAAAUCCCGCCUGGGGUGUGAUGGUUUUGAUCCUUUUGUUCCGGGGGGAAUAGCCUCUCAUCAUAUUGCAGCAGGGACAUGGGAAUAUUAGCGGGUCUUUUCACUCUUAGUGUGCGUCCACCUCAACGUUUAUACAAAGGAUUGCGUAUGGAAAAUAUUGAAACGGUCCUUUCCAGUAGUAUCGUCUGUGUAUUUUUUGGCUUUUGUUGUUGUUGGAACUAUGUGGUAUGGUUCAGCAACUACCCCGAUUGAAUUAUUUGGUCCUACUCGUUAUCAAUGGGAUCAGGAAUACUUCCAGCAAGAAAAUUAUCGAAGAGUUGGUGUGGGCUAGUCGAAAAUCAAAGUUUAUCAGAAGCUUGGUCUAAAAUUCCUGAAAAAUUAGUUUUUAUGAUUACAUCGGUAAUAAUCCGGCAAAAGGGGUUUUGUUAGAGGGGUUCAAUGGACAAUGAGAUGGAAUAGCGGUUGGUUGGUUAGGGCAUCCUAUCUUUAGAGACAAAGAGGGGCGUGAACUUUUUGUACUCGUAUGCCUACUUUUUUUGAAACAUUUCCGGUUGUUUUGGUAGACGGAGACGGAAUUGUUAGCAAAUGUUCCUUUUCGAAGGGCAGAAUCGAAGUAUAGUGUCGAACAAGUAGGUGUAAUUGUUGAAUUCUAUGGUGGCGAACUCAAUGGAGUCAGUUAUAGUGAUCCUGCUACUGUGAAAAAAUAUGCUCGGCGUGCUCAAUUGGGUGAAAUUUUUGAAUUAGAUCGUGCUACUUUAAAUGGGAUGGUGUUUUUCGUAGAGUCCAAGGGGUUGGUUUACUUUUGGACAUGCUUCUUUUGCUCUGCUCUUCUUUUUCGGGCACAUUUGGCAUGGUGCUAGAACCUUGUUCAGAGAUGUUUUUGUGGUAUUGAUCCAGAUUUGGAUGCGCAAGUAGAAUUUGGACAUUCCAAACUGGGAGAUCCUACUACAAAAAACAGGGAGUCUGAUAGAAAUAGGUUUGUUCCUUUUAUUCGACUUUUUUUGUUGUUAUUUGAAUUUGAUAUAGGGAACUAGACAAAUCUUGAUUCAAUCAUUCCAUUUGUUUUUACUCUUGUUCUUUCUUUUUCUUUAUCAGGAGAUAAUCCCCCACCCAAAAAAGGUAUGAAGUUAUAAUUGUACCACGAUCAAUCUAUGGAAGCAUUGGUUUAUACAUUCUCUCUAGUCUCGACUUUAGGAAUUAUUUUUUUCGCUAUUUUUUUUAGAGAACCCCCUAAAGUUCCAACUAAAAACACGAAAUGAUUUUGAAUUAUCUCAAUUGAAGUAAUGAGCCUCCAAUAUCGUAAUAUGGGGGGCUCAUUACUUCCCUAUCUCUCGUUCUUCAAUGGAUCUCUUAGUUGUUGAGAGGGUUCCAAAAAGUAUAUAAGGCAUACCCAGUAAAACUUAAAUUAAGGAUAUAGAGAUGGCAAUUAGGGUGUGUUUCCAUGAUUGUAUAAUAUCAAGACUACAAUGGAUCUAUAGGUAAGAUCCUUUAUCUACAGCGGAAUGGUAUACAAAGUCAACAGAUCUCAAUCAAAAAUAGGAUUUAUGGGUACACAAAACGUUGAGGGUAGUUCUAGAUCUGGUCCAAGACGAACUGUUGUAGGAGAUUUAUUGAAACCAUUGAAUUCAGAAAUGGUAAAGUAGCUCCGGGGUGGGAACUACCCUUUGAUGGGAUUGCAAUGGCCCUAUUGCGGUAUUUUUUCUAUUAUUUUAGAGAUUUAUAAAUUCAUNGGGUUCUUCCAGUUUUGAACUAUUUUUUAUAAUACUAAUUAAUGAAAUAAAUUUUAUUUAGAUUUAGAAAUUCUAUUGUAUUCCAGUGGUGUAAUAUAUAUAUAAUCUUGAAAAAAAAAAAAGCUAUUUGAAUCAAACAAAUAUUGAAAUUGUUGCCAUCUUGAUAUCCGGGAAUCCAGAUAAUUGGAAACGGAUUACUAUUCCAAACUUAAUUAUUUUGAAUUUUAUAUUCAAUUUAAUCAAAUUAAAUUUUGGAAUACUAAAAAGAUUCUUUCUUUUUAUUUAUUAGUUACCGGGAUUCUGAAAAGAAUCGGAAAUCUCAAAAUGAAAAUAAGAAGAAUAAAAAUUGCGUUGCUUUUUCAUUAUUUCAGAUGAUUGGAACCAAUACAAAGAGAAUCGAUUUAGAGAAAUGUGGACGCCAUGAAUUGACAUUCCAUCUAUAUCCAUAGAUCGAUAUCCAAUAUCCAUAUGAAAAGAAAAUGAUAGAUUGGUUCCUCCAUAUUCACUCUUUUUUUUUUUAGUAAAACAUUCUAUUUUUAUCCUCCUACCGUAAUAGAUAAUAUAGUAGAAACAAAUUGAUUUUAUUUCUUCUACUAUAUGGAUUUAAUAGAAUUCUGCUGGUUGUAACCUUCUUUCAUUUUAUUUUAAAGAAUAAAAUUCAUUAGUCGUCCAAUAACACGUAACAAUAAUAGCAGUAGAGACAUAUCCAAGAAUGACUGACCUAUUCAUAAAAACGUUCCUUUAUUCAUUAUUCAUUUAGUCUUCUUUUUUUAUAUUAUCUGGCUGGGGGGUGGAGCACAACUUCACACCAAAGCACAAUCUAGUUGACAGACAACUGCCAACUUGAUUAUUUUUUAUGCCAGUAGGUGUUCCAAAGGUAGGCUUUGAAGUUCCUGGCGAUGAUGAAGCUUCUUGGAUUGACUUAUACCAUCAACUUUUUUUCGACAGACUACUUUUUUUAGGUCAAGAGGUUGAGAGUGAAAUAUCAAAUCAAGUUUGUGGUAUGAUGAUAUAUCUCAGUUUAGAGAACAAGUACAAAAAUUUGUAUCUGUUUAUAAAUUCUCCAGGCGGAGAGUUCUAUCUGGAUUGGCCAUUUUUGAUAUUAUGCAAUUUGUGGAAGCAGAAGUACAGACAGUAUGCGUAGGAUUAGCCGCUUCAAUGGCAUCUUUGAUUUUGCUAGGAGGCGAAAUUACCAAACGUCUAGCAUCCCUCACGCUUGGCGCCAAUGAUUCUUAUUUGUAGAAAAAAAAAAAGAAGACUUUGCCUACGCCAAUAUGAAGUAAAAAAAGCAUGGCACUCUGAGUUCGAUAUGCAAAAAUAAUUUUUUUUUUCAAAACAAUUCGAUUAUAUAUCGAAAGAGUAGUAGGAAAAAGGGGUAUUUAGGAUUUUAUCUGAUCUAUUAGAGCCUCUGUUUAGUGUCACGAUUUUUUUUACUUAUUUGAAAAAAAAAAAGAAACUUUGGAUUGCUGAAUCAAAAACUAGACGAAAUAAGAGAGCAACGGAAUCAUCAUAGUCUUUAAAAUUUAAAAAUAUUCUCAAAAAAGAAAGCUGGUUAUUGGAUUCUCCUGAUCUGGUCUGAUCGACCCGGUAUAUAUUUUUUUUUAUUUCUUCAAUGAAAAUGAAAAAUUGAAAGUAGAGCCGUAUGCUAUAUAACAAAUCGCUUGCCUGUACGGCUUUAAAUGAAGUUCUUUUGGAUAGCCCUUUUUUAAGUCAAGAUUCAGAAAAACCUUAUUAUACUCUCAGGGUAAUGAUCCAUCAACCUGCUAGUUCUGCUUAUGAUGGACAAUCGGGAGAAUGUAUGCUGGAAGCACACGAAUUACUGUCAAUUCGACAAACGAUGACAAAUAUUUAUUGCCAAAGAACACGCAAACCUUCCUGGCAGAUAUCUAAAGACCUGGACAGGGAUUUUUUUAUGUCAGCAGAAGAAGCCCAAGCCUACGGAAUUAUUGAUACAAUAGCAGAUCUUGUCUUUGGUAAAUAGAAAAUUUGCCUAUGUCCUAUUUAUAGAAAAUAUUCUAUUAGGAAUAUUUCUGUCCUGUUAUCCUAAUAAACACCGAAUUUGCUUUCAAACAAUUUUAUUUCUGUCCCCAAUAUUUUUUUGCUCUUUCCAAUUCAUGUAUUUAUUAGUAAUAUUUGAUUUAUUCCUAAACCUCUAUGCUGUUUAUUCCUAAUAAAUACAUGAAUUGAUGUUGUCUUUUAUCUUUUUAAUUGUCUUAACAACCAGAUUUAAUAGAGUCGAAUAAAUUCUAAAUUGAAAUUAUUGGGUUAGGAUUGAUCGAAACCAGCUCAUUAUGUAUAUGAUUCACCAUGCCAACUAGAAAACAACUUAUUAGAAACACAGACAGCCAACCGGACUGUAACAAAAUCUCCGCUCUUCGGGGAUGCCCUCAACGCCGAGGAACAUGUACUAGGGUGUAUGUGCGACUCGUUUAGAUCAUAUACUCAAAUUAAAAAAUCAAUUCUAUUAAUAAGAAUUGUAUAUAUAUAAUUCUAUUGUGUAUAAAAUUUAUGGUUUCUCAAUUGGUGCAAACCAAAUCACCUUAAUUUGUAAUUUAAGAUGAAAAGUAUUUUCCCAUUGGUAAUAAAUAGUUAUCCAUUAAGCGGAAAAAUCCUAUUUGAAAGAAAGACAAAUUAUGCCAUAAAUUUAGCAAUAACGGACUAAGAGGGUCAACUACCCAGCUAAUAUUCAUACUUAAAUACCGUUACUGUAUAGCUAGAUUUCAUUGUAAAGACCUAUUACUAGAUAUUUCAUGGUAGAGCCCAGAAGUGUGAACUGUACAAGUUCACAAUAACAUUGAUUGAAUAAAGAUUCAAUGAAGGAAGGGGCUCCGGUGUAUAGAGAGGACCUCACCGUUUAACAAGUAAUCAUAGAAACGAUGGAACCCACCAUUUCUUUGUUUAUUUCUUAUUUACUAUGUUUUUGGAAUACCUAGUAUCAAUAGAAGUUAUUAUUUAGAGUGAAAUACUUAGAAAAAACAAAAAAAUAGUGGUUGGGAAGGUUAUAGUAGCAAAAGCCAUUGGAAUUUUAUUUUAUACAUUGGAAGAAUCCAUGUUGUUAGUAAUAUACUAGAAAGGAUAAAAGAAUAACUGAAAGAAAAAAAUCAAAAUAGUUAUUCAUCAAAGUCUCAUUUAUCCAAUGACCAGAACUAAACGAGGAUCCAUCGCUCGAAAACGGAGGACAAAAAGUACAUCAAGCUUUCGUGGAGCUCGUUCAAACCGUACUCGAACUAUUUUGCAACAGAGAAUAAAAGCUUUGGUUUCGUCUCAGCAGGAUAGAGAUAGGAAAAAAAGGACUUUCGCAGUUUGGAUCAGUCGAAUAAAUGCAAUAAUUGGCCAGAAUAAACAAAAAAUCUACUAUAGUAAUUUAAUGUAUAAUCUGUACACGAAUCAAUUGCUUCUUAACGUAAAAUCGUUUCACAAAUAGCUAUAUUAAAGGGGAAUUGUCUUUUUAUUAUUUCCAACGAUAUCAUCAUUUUUUAAUAAAAAUUCCCCGGAGACUGAACUCCGGGAAGGUGGUAGAAUAAAAGAGAUUUGUAUGAUAAAAUAGAAUUCAUAUGAAUUAUCAAAAUAAAUAAUCAACCACGCUCAAAAAAAAAAUGAUUCUUCUUUUCUUCACCUAUUAUCGUUUUCUUUAGAACGAAACAAUCUCAAUAGGAUUGUCGGAUUUUCUAAAAAAAAAAUACCAAUCCGCAUAAACUUUGAGUUUAGAUUCAAUUAAUGAAGUAACGUAACUCUAUUUUUUUUUUUUUUUAGAACAGGAGUUCUAGUUCUAGUAAUUGACUUUCUUUUUUCAUAUUUUUUUUUUGCAUUAUUAACAAAAGAUGACGAAUUUACAAAAGGUAACAAAGAUAAAAUACGAGCUUGUUUAUAGCAAUCGUAAUCAAUCGUUGUUGUUUUAAGGUCAAUUUAUUAACACGUCUCGAUAAAAUUUUCCCUUGUCGACUGAUAAAUUUGAAAAGUAAACUCAAGUUUUUAUAAUCAAUUCGAUCCCCAGAUUGGAUUAGGGGCGAACUCCUACGAAUUGAUUGCUUCGAUUUAACAAACAGUCGCUUAGAUUUAUCCAUGGUUUGUUUACUCCUAUACCGAAAAUCCCGUUGUUAUAAAAAAAGGAUUUGUUUUAGUUAUAUUCUUUUUUUUUUUUCUAAAUAUUUUGUUAGAUAAGAAAAUCGAUGCUAUAUAAUGAUAUAUAUUUAUAAUUUCAUGUUUAUUAUAAUCCGGUAUCUAUAUAAUUCAUUUUGAUGUUAUUUAUAAUUUUUUUUUUUUUUCAAUUUACCUCCUAAGGGUGACACACAAGUAAUCCAUUUUCUCUAUUUCUUGAUCUCUGCGUGAAUCAUAUGUUUGCAACAAAAGGGACAGAAUUUCUCAAUUCCAAUCGACUAGGCGUAUUGUGUCGAUUCUUUUUAGUAAUAUAUCGAGAAAUCCCUCUAGAUUCCUUAUUAACACUCUUUUAUCACAACUAGUACAUUCUAAAAUAACAGUUAUUCGGAUAUCUUUACGCUUAGCCAUGAACCUCCUUUGGUUUUUUUUAUUCACUAACUCUUCGAUUUUAAGAUUCGAAGGAAGAAAAAAAGGAAUGAAAAAAAAUAUAAGUUGAUAAUUGAAAAUCAAAUUCUGAAAUAUUUUGUUCCAAUGAAUUUAUAUAGUACAGUAAUAAUUCACUACUACAAUGCUUUCGAAAUAGAUUUCGAAUCACAGUAUAGUAUUUCAGUUUUGAUGAAAAUAUCUUGUAUGAUAUUAUUGUCCCUACCUACCCUAACAAGACCAUUUCUGGUCUGACUAUUAAUAAUAAUUAUUAAUAGCAAUGGAAUCGAAGUAUUAAUUCAAUUCCAUUGAAACGAAACCUGGGAAAAAUUCCAAAUUUCACUGAGGCCAAAUCCACCUUUUUAAUUUCCUUUUUUUAAUUCUAGUAUAAUUAGAAAAAACGAACGAAGAGGGAUUGAAUCACAGAUAUUUUAUUGGACUCUAAUCUUCGGCACCCUUUCCCGUGCCAAUAACUAGAAUCAAAAAAAGGGGAAUGUCAAUGCAUCUGGGAAUAAACGAUUGAUUUCGAUCAAGAGACCUGCUAGAGCCGCGAACCAUAAAGUACUUGCCACUGGUGCCACAGAGAGAUAUGUUUUUAGAUCUCGCAUUUCAAAUCCUCCUUCGUUUUUUCUUGUAAUUUGUAAUACAUAAUAAUACAGAAUAUAGGAAUAUUAUUCAAUGUUUUUUUAUUAAUAAAACCACUUGGAUUUGUCAGGGGAAGUCCGAAUCCAAAUUGAAUUGUACAACAAUAAUUAGAUAUUUUUUUAUAGAGUACUAUUUAAUAUUUAAAUAUUAUUAUUUUAUUUCUUUUAUUCAAAGAAUAUAUUAUUAAUUAAAUAUUAAAUAAAUAUUUUUAAUUAUUCUAUUUUUCAUAUAUAAAUUCUAUUAUAUAUAUCUUAUUAUUAUUUGUAUAUUCUUUGUUCUUGUUAUUAGACUCUUUGUAUCUUAUUAUUUAUAGAUGCUUCUCUGUUUUUAAUUAAUUGACUAUUUUGAAUCGCUCACAAUUGAUCUCUUGUUACUGCUGAUACGAUAACUAAUAGUUAGGGAUAGGGAUGACAGGAUUUGAACCUGUGACAUUUUGUACCCAAAACAAACGCGCUACCAAGCUGCGCUACGUCCCUUUACAUCAGUUUCCAGUGUCAUUCUAAAAAAUUUUUGUCUUGUUUUCCACAUUCUUCCAUUAUAUAUAGAAUAUAUCCUGCCAUUUUUUCUCGUUUGUUUUUUUACUUUCUUAUAUCGAUCGUUUAAAGAACAAAUAUUCUUAUAGAAUAUUUAUAGUCAAUUAAUUAAAAACAGAGAAGCAUCUAUAAAUAAUAAGAUACAAAGAGUCUAAUAACAAGAACAAAGAAUAUACAAAUAAUAAUAAGAUAUAUAAUAGAAUUUAUAUAUGAAAAAUAGAAUAAUUAAAAAUAUUAUUUUAAUAUUUAAUUAUAAUAUAAUUCUUUGAAUAAAAGAAAUAAAAUAAUAAUAUUUAAAUAUUAAAAUAGUACUCUAUAAAGAAAUAUCUAAUUAAUUGUUGUACAAUUCAAUUUGGAUUCGGACUUCCCCUGACAAAUCCAAGUGGUUUUAUUAAUAAAAAAACAUUGAACAAUAUUCCUAUAUUCUGUAUUAUUAUGUAUUACAAAUUACAAAGAAACGAAGGAGGAUUUGAAAUGCGAGAUCUAAAAACAUAUCUCUCUGUGGCACCAGUGGUAAGUACUUUAUGGUUCGCGGCUCUAGCAGGUCUCUUGAACGAAAUCAAUCAUUUAUUCCCAGAUGCAUUGACAUUCCCUUUUUUUUUAUUCUAGUUAUUGGCACGGGAAAGGGUGUCGAAGAUUAGAGAUCCAAUAAAAUAUAUGUGAUUCAAUCCCUCUUCGUUUGUUUUUUCUAAUUAUACUAGAAUUAAAAAAAGGAAAUUAAAAAGGUGGAUUUGGCCUCAGUGAACUUUGGAAUUUUUCCCAGGUUUCAUUUCAAUGGAAUUGAAUUAAUACUUCGAUUCCAUUGUAAUUAAUAAUUAUUAUUAAUAGUCACACCAGAAAUGGUCUUGUUAGGGUAGGUAGGGACAAUAAUAUCAUACAAGAUAUUUUCAUCAAAACUAAAAUACUAUAUUAUGAUUCGAAAUCUAUUUCGAAAGCAUUGUAGUAGUGAAUUAUUACUGUACUAUAUAAAAUUUAUUAGAACAAAAUAUUUUAGAAUUUGAUUUUGGAUUAUCAACUUAUAUUUUUCUUCAUUCCUUUUUUCUUCUUCUCUUCGAAUCUUAAAAUCGAAGAGUUAAGUGAAUAAAAAAAACAAAGGAGGUUCAUGGCUAAGCGUAAAGAUAUCCGAAUAACUGUUAUUUUAGAAUGUACUAGUUGUGAUAAAAAGAGUGUUAAUAAGGAAUCUAGAGGUAUUUCUCGAUAUAUUACUAAAAAGAAUCAACACAAUACGCCUAGUCGAUUGGAAUUGAGAAAAUUUUGUCCCUUUUGUUGCAAACAUAUGAUUCACGCAGAGAUCAAGAAAUAAAGAAAGUGGAUUACUUGUGUGUCACCCUUAGGCGGUAAAUUGAAAAAAAAUUAUAAAUAACAUCAAAAUGAAUUAUAUAGAUACCAGAGAAUAUAUCUUAAACAUGGAAUUAUAAAUAUAUAUCAUUAUAUAGCAUCGAUUUUCUUAUAUAACAAAUAUAUUAGAAAAAGAAAAGAAUAUAACUAAAACAAAUCCUUUUUUAUAACAAACGAGAUUUUCGGUAUAGGAGUAAACAAACCAUGGAUAAAUCUAAGUGACUGUUUGUUAAGUCGAAGCAAUCAAUUCGUAGGAGUUCGCCCCUAAUCCAAUCUGGGGAUCGAAUUGAUUAUAAAAACUUGAGUUUACUUUUCAAAUUUAUCUGUCGACAAGGGAAAAUUUUAUCGAGACGUGUUAAUAAAAUGACCUUAAAACAACAACGAUUGAAUAUGAUUGCUAUAAAACAAGCUCGUUUCAAUGAUAUCAAAAUUUUCAAAGUAUGAUAGUGUUCUUCUUUAAAAAAAAUCAAACUUCCAAAGCUCGUUUAUGUUUAACAAUUUAUUUGUAGGAUUACAACAUAUGAUGAUUGUAGCGGUAAAUUCAUGAUCAUCAAGCUAUGGAUAAGCACGACAUCAAUAAAAUAAGAGUUGCCACCGCGCUUUAUUGUUUCCAAGGGAAAAGGGAAAAGUACGAACAAAACGCAAAAAGUAAGAAGUUUUCAAAUCAAAACUAAUAAAAUGCCAGAAAUUACAGGUAAGGGGGUUGGUUACACAGAGGAAAGGUGUUUGCACCAAAAGUGUCCUAGGUACUCCUAGGGAGCCCUUUCUUGUGCGCAUAUGUAUUUUGUAUAAAUUGAUGUUUACAAACAAAUAUAAUGGGGGGAUGAGAAAAAGAAUUCAUUAAUUAUAUUUUUUGUGUUUGACAAGACCUUCGGACUUGUGCCUACGUACCAACAUAAAAAUGAGGGAUCAAAAUCUCGUAGUUCGUGGUAUAAAUUUCAAAAUGGAUGCAUUGCUUUUAACAAAAUUAAGCUUAAAAGGCACAAAGGCCUAAAAUGGUUUGAAUGAGUUAGUUCUUUUUGUCUUUUGAAAAGUCUUAAGUCAAGUAUAGUUAAAUUUAUUUACAAGUUUGAUUAAGAAGAGAAGUUUGAAAAUGCAAUGACAUAAGGCCAAAGUUUCUAAUUU